UGGUUUUCUGUAUACGUUUUGGAAUAUGUUUUGGAUUUUUUGUUGCUUUUUGCAAGCUCCAGUAAGGAUUGCAGACAGUUUCACUUUAACAUGUGGAUUUUAUAAAUAUAGAUGCAGACAUCAUAUCAUCCCAAACACGGAUGCAGGCCUUGGGAAUUCCUGGGUUGCCUGUUUGCUACUGUCAUUAUCCUUUGAUUAAUGAGAGGUGGGUUUUGCAUGGAUGGCAGGCUGGUUGGUACAAGCUUGGAGGUAGUUUUCAGAUACACCUGUGGGUUUCCAGGGCUUUAGCCAAAGGCUAUACUGGCCUCCGGCCUGGAGUUGAGUCACCUUCUUGCAUGUACUCUCCAACAUACGUGGUCAUCCCUUCUGCCUGAGGACCAAGAACUCCAGCUUCAGAGCCCUCACAGCCCAGUGUCCAGUCCUCUUUCAUGAAUCUACUGAGAUACAGAAUUCUCAGUUAUUGUCUUACUGCUGUUAACUGAAAACUUAGCAUUCCGGGGGAAAAGAAUCAUGGCUACAAUCAGUCUACCUAAAAUUACGGAAAGAAGAUUCCACACCAAAAAUUUCCAGUGGCUUGACAGUGGAUUUCACGUAGGACCUGUGAGCUAGAGUUCAUUCAGCGUUAACAGUUAUAAGAUUAGCUUGUGGUACUGCUCUUGUUACUUCCUCUCUAGACCAUAUUGUGUUUCCUGUGGCAAUCUUUGUCUUGACCACAAGUGCUUUCGGAAGUACAGAGGGUAAAACUGAUUUAAAAGUGUUAUGAGUUAGCAGAUUCAGUUCUGUUGAUUAAAAGCCAGGCAGCAAGAAGUAUUCUGCCUCGUGACCUUGUGGUGAUAACCAGAGCGCAGUGUUUGCAGACUGCUUCCCCAGCUAAUUAAGUAACUUGGCUGAAAAACAAGGAAGCUGCCAAAGGCUGGGAUGAGCGUUUGAAAUAAAUGGUAGGAAUUUAAUAUUAAUGAGCUGAAAACUUGGAGCUAACUUUAAAAAAAUAGGGUGUUACAAAAUGCAACAAAGGUUAGAUUAAGAGUACAAAGAAAAGUUUUA